GGAGAUGCGGGGCAGCCCCCCGCCAUCGCGGCACCCCCCGCGGAGCCCCCCCGGCUUUUCCGCUCCCCCCUGGGGCUGCCCCUGUCCCGGCACCUGCUGCUCUGGGCCCGGGUGCCACACCCCGGUGCCACCAAGGACUGUUUGCUGCUCUGCGCCGCCGGCCUGCGCCCCCCGCCCGCGCCCCCCGGGACCCCCCCCUAAUUCCCCAAAGUGUCCCCAAAGUGUCCCCGAGGUGUCACCGAGGUGUCCCCAAGGUGUCCCCGACUCCCGUUUGUUGCACUUGAGCCCCCCUUUACCACGGGGGGGCGACCCUGUACAGAGACCCCUCCCCAAAAUCACGGGACCCCCCC